GGGGGCCCGCAAGCGGUGGAGCAUGUGGUUCAAUUCGACGCAACGCGAAAAACCUUGCCUGGGCUCGAAAUGCAGGAGACCGGGGUAAAAAUAUCCUUCCCCCGCAAGGGGCUGCUGUAUAGGUGCUGCAUGGCUGUCCUCAGCUCGUGUCGUGAGAUGUUGGGUUAAGUCCCGCAACGAGCGCAACCCUCAUCCCUAGUUGCCACCGGGUAAUGCCGAGCACUCUAGUGAAACCCCCUCGGAAAACGGGGAAGAAGGGGGGGAUGACCUCAAGUCCUCAUGGCCUUUAUGUCCAGGGCUACACACGUGCUACAAUGGUCGGUACAAACCGUCCCAAAGCCCCAAGGUGGAACUAAUCGGAAAAAGCCGGCCUCAGUUCGGAUUGGAGUCUGCCACUCCACUCCAUGAAGCUGGAAUCCCUAGUAAUCCCAAAUCAAAACGUUGCGGUGAAUACGUUCCCGGGCCUUGUACACCCC
rnacentral:rRNA from 1 species